rnacentral:lncRNA from 1 species
AAGUAGAUAAAUCAAAUAAUUACUAAUGGUGACGAAUUCUUAGAAAUGAAACAAAAGGGUUGACAAGGGGAGCAGAUAAUGGGGACAGGAGGCGUGAACAAAGAGUGACACAGGGAUGAAGACCUCAUAAAGAUGAGACUGAAGCUAAGAACUAAAUGAUGAGAUAGAGGGGGUGACAUGGUGCUCUAGGGAACUUCUGCUCAGACAGGUACAAUCCUUGGUGUGACUCAAGUACUUUCCUAAAGGAGAACUUGGCAAGGACAUGGUCAUAUUGUUGUGGGGGAGGGGGAGUGAGUCUCAGGAGACCCCAUUUGGAGCCAGUGCCUCUGCUGGACUUCUCCCAGGACCUGGGAGAAGUAAUCCAGAGCCAAGAGAUGAGACUUAGCAGUGUGACUUAGAUUUGCCCACCCUCUUAACCAUGACACCUGCUUCUGGUUCCAGAAAUGUAGUGUAACACUUAAAUGUGCUCCCCCUCUACACAUUACAUCUAAAAACAGUAAAAGUCUGAAAUGUUGAGAAAAGAAAGUAAGUUGUCUAGGGACCUAGACCCCAGGACUCAGGAGAUGACUAGGCAGUGAGUCCUCUGGAUCUUUUUGCCUCCUGUGUGUCCUGGACUGGGAACUGAGGAGGCUCAUGACCUAGAAACCACGGUGGGCACAGUCAGCAAAACAAAGCAAACAAAGGUGGAAAAACAGGAUGAGGUGGCUCUCUCUGGGCAGGAGUCAUCAAACAUGGUUAAUGAAAAAUGUAAGAUGGUGCAGCCACAUUGAAAAACAGUGAGGCAGUUUAACAAGUUAAACAUACAUUUAUCCUAGGUUCCAGAAGUUGCAUUCCUAGACAACUAUCCAAAAGAAAACUGUAGGUUCACAGAGACUCCUACACAAGUGUUCAUUGUACCAUUGCUACUCAUAGUAGCCAAAAACUAGAAACAAUCUAAAUUCCAUUUACUGGUGGAAAAACAGAAUGUGGUACAUCCAUACAAUGGAAUAAAUACUUCUCAAUAAGAAGGAGCAAACUAUUGGUACAGGCAGGAACAAAACUUAACCACAAAUAUUUUAUCAAAGUGAAAGUCAAAUAUUUAAAAAAUUGUUUGACUGGAUUUUUAUAAGAUUUCUGGAAGAGGUGAAGCUUUAUAGACAAAGUAGGUUAGAGGUUACUUAGAGCUGGUAUUGGGAGCAGGGAUUGCCUGCAGAUGGGCAGAAUUUUUUUUGGGGUGAUGAAAGUGUUUCAAAACGAGAUUGUGGUUAUAGGGCCAAAAAGGGAAACCUUACCUCUUUAUCCUUUGAAGUUUCGCUAAAAAUGAACAACAAAAACACACUAUGAGAGAAAAGGGAUAUAA